CAGGAGGUAGUUUAUAAUAAAAUUUUGGUUUUGGAGACCAAUGAAAUGGUUAAUCUU
rnacentral:tRNA from 1 species